CAACGGUGAAGAAAAAAAGCAGUGAAGAAAAUGAAGCAUUUGAAGGAUCAGGAGGAGGGAGUGAAGAAAAGAAAACAGAAGCGCGCCUCCGGCAGGGCUCCACUCAGUGAGAGGCUGCAGAUGAAAGCAGUUCGGGGGCAGCAGCCAGAAUGUUUCCCGCCCGAAUUAGCCGCUCUGUCUCCGUCAGCCAUUUUAUCUGCAGUUUUGGCUGCUAUGGAAACAACCUAGACGGCCAUUUUACAGAGUGUUCCCAUUCAGGGGUCUAGCUUGCUAACCCGACAGUGUGACUGUGGCGGUGCAGGGUCCUGCUUCUCAGUUUGGCCGGACUCCUUCUGCUGAUGACCCCCCCCUUGGGGCCUGUCUUUUUAAAUUGAGCCCCGCGGGGUCCGCUAGUUCCGCCGGCAGCACCUGUGAUGCUUGACCCCCCUCGGGGUCUGUGUAUAGUGGAUGCUGCUUCUCUGGGACCGUUCCGGUCUAUUGAUCCCCCACAGGGUCCGCUGUCUUUGGUAACGACCGCAUUUUCCCUCCCUGCAGCUGAGUCUACCUCCUUUGGUCCCUACAAAAACUUAAACUAUCUGCCUGCUACUGGCUUCAGAGACAGCUACAGUGACAACGGAGGAGCGUCUUUCAAGCCUGCCUGACACCAGCCCUGGAACAACUGUAGCAGUGGUGUUGCCAGAAACCAAACCAGAGCCUUCUCCAAUGCAGAACGACCAUCAAAUUGUGUCCAGGGAUGUGCAGCAGAUGGUCCAGAUACUUGGGGAACAUAGCUUCGUCAUCAACUGUCAGUAAAGCCAUCUACAGCCAUCACAUCUUCUCCAGCAUCUGGGAGCUUUGUUUGAUAUGAGGACUGCCAAUGUUUCUCUGCCACCGGAAUAUCAACAAAAUAUUGCCGCCUCCAUCAUGCCGUGGAUGUCCAAGAGCCGGGGGCCCCUCAUGUCGCUGGCGCAGCUCAUGGGUUCAAUGAUUGCCUGUCUGGAGUGCACGCCUUGGCCGAGGUGGCGCUCCAGAACUCUGCAGUGGUUUUUACUUCCUUACCAAUUGGCCAUCAUGGAGAAAAGUCGCCUGACGGUCUGUUUGCCGUACAAGAUCAAGGCCUACUGCUUCUUGUGGCUGUCACUGGCCUUUGGGAAGAGUCUUCCCCUGGACACACCUUAAAAGAUUGUGGUCACUAUGGAUGUGAGUCUCUCUAGCUGGAGGACUAAUUGCCUCAUGUGUCAUUCACAAGACUGUGGACCCAGAGGGAUCUGGAAAACAAUAUAAACUGGCUCAAACUUAAGGCUAUUCACCUGGCCCUGCUUCAGUUCCAAGAUCUGAUCCUGGGAAGGAAUGUACUAAUAAGGAUAGACAACGUGUCUGCCAAAGCUCACAUGAACCAUCAGGGAGGCACAAGAUCGUGGGCCCUCAUGAAAGAGUCAAACUUCCUGUUUGCUUGGGCAGCAAGUCUGGGCUCACCUGGGUUCUGUGUUGGCGGAACAUCUGAGCAGAGUGAAGAACUUGCAGGCGGACUAGUUGAGCCACCAGUGGAUAGACCUGGCAGAGUGGUCACUGCAUCCAGAUGUUUUCAACCAGAUAGUGCAGAUGGGGGUCUAACGGACCUGUUUGCGUCUCACCACAAUGCCAAGCUUCCCAGGUUCUUCGCCAGGUAUCUGUGUCACCAGGCAGAAUGGGUGGAUGCUCUCUCAUUGCCAUGACCACCCAAACUGCUCUUCGCUUUUCUGACAGUUUGGAUUCCCAGGUCUGUUCUGAGAAAACUGUCAGAGGAAAGAGAAGUCAUCUUAGUAGCACCCUACUGGCCACACAAACUCUGGUUUUCAGACCUGCUGUUCCUGUCACUUCAACCUCCAUGGCCUCUUUUUCUUGAAAGAUCUCUCCAUGGAAGAUCUCCUCCAUGGUGAGGAGAUCUGUUGUCGCAGGGGCCCUGUUUCAUAUGGACCUGGCAUGGUUACACCUUCACACGUGGAGGUUGAGCAAAAGGUGCUAGCGGAUAAGGGGUACUCAAGACAACUGCAAGACACGAUUCUUGCUUCAAGAAGGACGUCUACCUUAUGCAUCUACUAACUUACCCAGUCAGCUUUUUGUACUUGGGGGCAAAAACACCGAGUACAACUGUCUUCAGUGGGAGUUUCCGAGGUGCUGGGGUUUCUUGAGUCGGGUCUUGAAAAGGGCCUUCAUCCAAACACACUGAGGCAGCAGACGUCAGCACUGUCUUCUGUUCUGGACAUUUCUGUUCCUGGUUUGUCAGUGUUGCAUCCUCACGUUUGUAACUUCCUGCAGGGAGCUAACAAUCUUGCUCAGAUUUCUUACACAGGUUUCCCUCCUGGGAACAAAACAAAGUUUUAAAUGCACUCACUAAGGCUCCCUUGGGUCACUGUCUCUAAAGAUGUUAUCUUUUAAGGUCCUUUUUCCUGGUAGCCAUCACAUCUGCCAGGAGGGUGUCCGAGUUGGCUGCCUUGUCUGUAUGCAAGGAGCUAUGUGUUUUCCAGAAAGACUCUGUUGUUUUGAAGUUGGACCCCAUCUUUUUGCCAAAAGUUAAUUCUGUUUUCCAUAGGGGUCAGGAACUCAUGUUACCUUCUUUUUGUCCAAGUUCUGUUCACCCUAAGGAGAAGGCUUGGCAUACCCUAGAUGUGCACAGUGUGCUUAGAGUGUACAUCAAUCGCUUCAAGCCUUUUCAGAAGACUGAUUCUUUGUUUCCUUUCAGACUUCUUCCUUGGGGCUAAGGUCUCCAAAGUCUCCCUGGGCUGCUGGCUUAGGGUGGCCAUUGUCCUUGCCUAUGAGUCCUUACAUUUGGCUGUUCUCCAGGGUAUCAUGGCUCAUUCAAUGAGAAGUGCUAGCACUUCAGUGGCCUUUUCAGCUCAUGUGUCUCUAGCUGAAAUGGUAAGGCAACAACUUGGGUGUCAGUGUCUCCUUUGUGAGGCAUUACAAAAUUUUGCCUUUUUAUGCAGCUCAGGCAGCCAUGGGAUGGACUGUUCUGAAGCGUCUAGCCAUCCGCUUCCCUCCCAUUUUAUGUUGCUUGGGUACGUCCCAUCACAUGUAGGAAGCCCUCCCCAUACCAUAGGAAAAGAAACAUUGGUAGACUUGCUGUGAAGGGUUCUUUUUCAUUGUAUCUCAGGGAGGUGGGAUGACUCCCAGGUUUGAAGUUAUCUGUCACUUUUUCUACCGAUUCUGUUGUUUCAUUCACUAUCUGUUCUGGUUGAGUUCUCCUCUCUCUUUACACUUUACUAUGCUCUACCGUACUGGAACUGGGAUUGGAGUGACAGCUAUCUGGAUAGGCAUAACCUGCCUGAGAUUUGAUUGGUCCUGUCUCGGAGCAUGCAGAGGCUGAUAACCUGUCUCAUGUCGGAUUUCCUCCCCAUACUCUGAAAAAGAACCCUUCAUGGUAAGUCUACCAGUGUUUCUUUUUCUGACCUUAAUAACUGCAAUCCUGACAAAAAUCACCUAACAUUGUGUGUGUCAAAUUAAUAUGCUAUCAUAUUAAAAAUAUUGCACGGCCAUACUGCCUGUUGGAAGAACGCCACACGUUCUGAUGCAGGAACAAGCAGAAUCAGUUUCUAAUCCUCAUGUUUUUGGUGUGUGUGUGUGUGUGUGCGCGCACGCACACAUACUGAAAACAUAGCAGCUGUUUCUUUUUUAAAAAACAGAAAAAAUUCUCAGCAAAAAAUUCUCAAGCAUUUUAUUGCAAUGUUCUCUAAGCCAUUCAACUUGGAGGCCUAUAGUGUUCUUUUCCAGUGUAACUGCUGCCAUAGGGCUGUAUUAACCUUGUUUUAUUCUUACAGUUAUCUAAAGCAAUGGCUACUGGUCUUCUGUAGUUUGCAUGCACACAGCUUCAGGGCCGUUUCCCAUCCAUCUACCUUUAGCUUAUUUCCACUUAUUUCAACUUAAGCUGAAAACAUGUUGUGACAGUCUUAUAGUCACCCCAAAUUAGAAAAAUCUGGAUAAUGCUGCAUUUAAAAAUGUAGAAUAUAGACUUGGGAGAAUUCGUAAGUACCACCAUUACCACCAGCUUUAAUAUUACUCCCUGCACUAUACAAUCUUACAUGUUUUACAUUGCAAACUGGACAAUGUGUUUGAAGAAGCAAAGCAGCUGUCGUGGAGACUAUGUGAACGGUCUGAUAAGGCUGGCAAAAGACUAUGGCUAUUUUCAAAACUGAAGCAAGUAUUACGGAAGUUCACAUUCAUCUCACUAAUGGCCUCUGCUCAGAGACUUGGCAGGUGUGUGCCAUGUUUAAAAAAACCAACAAAACUAAUUUGAUUAGACAUGACAAUGGGAUAAGCGGGGAGUGGGGGAGCUGUGUACUUCUGCCCGCCACCCCAGGAGGCACACAAAUGCAUUUUUCAGAGGUGUUAAAAGAUAGAGCUAGUGUAGUGUCGGAUUAGAAUAAUAGUUUGAGGAGGAACCAUGGCUCAGGCCAAGCUGGUUUGCAUGCAGAAGGUCCUAGGCUGAAUCCCUGGCAUCUCCAGGCAAGGCUGGGAGAGACCCUUGUCUUAAACCUUGGAGAGUCACUGCCUGUCAGUACAGAGCAGGGGUUCCCAACCUGUGGUACUCCAGUUGCUGCUGAACUACUACUCCCACCAUCGCCACGCACCCACCCAACCCAAACACCAGUGGAACUUGGGCUGAUUGGAUAUAACUGCUUUGAAACAAAAAAGGAAAAACAAUCUAGAAUAUAUUACAAAGUUUCUGGAAGUCUGCCAAUAGCCCCAAAUCUGCAACAGGCAGCUUUUCCUCCUUCCCUUAAACCAUCCAACUGGCAGAAGUCCGAGAAAGAGCAAAGGACAAAUGUUGUAGUAUGAGAACCGUUCAAGUAAGUUUUUAAUAGAGUGCACCAGUGAUUGUGAAUUAGGAUGACUUGCGUAAAAAAAAAAUUUUUUUUAAAGGAACACCAGAUAAAAGGGGUACAGUUCUUUCUUGCCAAAACACCGUCCUUUUUGUAAGGCAACAAUACACGUUCAUUUCAGAACAGAACUGUUACAGAAGAGAGCGCUACAUCACAGUACAGUACAGUAUGUCAUGUCCAUCUGUCAGAAAGCCAUUCUCCAAUGGCACACUUAGCUACACUUACAGCCUUCUAACUUCGGGUUACAGAGUUUACCACAGCUUUUUUUUGUUUUGCUUUUUUAAAUAUAUAGAUAUAUAGAUAUAUAUAAAGUGACAAUUUUGAAUGACUUCUAAUCUUCACAGGAGUGUGCAGAUGGGGCCCAUCAUUGAAAUUACAGUAAUUACGACAUUAAAUAACAUUGCACAACCAACUGCUAUGAUUAAUUCAGUACAAAAUAACAAAUAUUAAAAUGUACCAAGUACUAGUGGUUUUACAUCGUUUAUAUCACUAAUUAUGAAGGAUUUUCUUCUUCUUUUUCCAUAGGCAAAUGCCUACACACAGCUGCACAUUACAGGCAUCAUGAUGUGGGCCAAAAUAUUAACACACCAACAAGGUAUAUGGGAACAAAAUUUGUACAAUCACUUAAGUAAUCUAUUGUUAUAAACAAUGUAUGUUUAGCUGUAAAGUAUACAGAACUGCAUGUACUUUUCUGGAGGGUGGGGGAGGGGAGUAUUCCAAAAACCAGUUAAUUCCUGAGGUGGCAUUUAUUAGCUCUUAUAAUUGGUCACCAUUUCAGAUUACCUUGUGCUAUGAAACAGUCUCAAUACUAAGAUAUAUUUUCACAAAGUGGCAUUUCUAUUGUUUCGAAGGCAACAAACAAUAUUUCACACCAUGAUGAAUGAAUCUGAACUGUAUUUCUCUUCCAUUACUACAUCUGACCUUGGUCACAAGAGCAAGAUUUAGAAGUGUACAAAUAAACAUUACCAAGAUGUGAAUUCUGUUCCCCAACAUUACAAGCGGCCAGAGGCUAAAUGCACUCAAACCACCCUUUUCCUCACUGUAAGUGCCAACACUGUAAACGUGUGCAUUUCCCCACCCCCACAACUAAACACUGCUCUAUAAGUUGGGUAAGAACAACAGGAAGCAAGACGAGUCUUGUGUACGAUCAAAGCUGAUUUUUAACUUUCUAACUCAGUUUUUAUACGUGAUUUUUUCUUCUUAAAAUAACUAAAAUUGUUCAUGCUACAGUUGUGAAAACAAUUGUAUGUGCAUUUCUACUAUGGACGCAGUUUUUAAAAAAAUGCAUGAGAGAGGUAAGAAUUAUAAAAACCACAAAAAGAAGUUAAUGACUGGGAAGAACAUUUCAACUCAAAGCAAAAAACACAUCUGUGCUGAUAUCUAGACAACUAUACAAGAUCUGUAUUUAAGCAUCCUCUUUUAUUAUACAACUCUAUGAACAUAAAAUGAACAGAAUGCUCUAUAUACUUACCUGUACAUGUGAACAUAACUUCUUUAGCUACAGUUUUUCUUUUUUAAUAUAGGUCAUACUGAAUUAAAUUUUACAAUUCAGAAUAACUAUGUAUAACCUUAUUGCAAUGGGGGCAAUUUCUACAUGGGGAGCUUCACAGGCCAAUCAUGUUAGGCAUAACCAGUACAUUCAAAAUGUAAGAUUAGGUCAUGUUUGAAUCUUCCCUGAUCCCAGAAGUGUUGCUGCUCUUUACAACUUAAGCUCAUUGGCUAUUUUGGAUGCAAUGUUUUUAAAGGCAAUAGAAGUUCCAGAUAUUCGCUUGAAGCGAACUCCGUUGAGCGACAGGCGUGGCAAUUUACAAACUUCCAUCUCCCACUGGACGAGGCUAUCCUGUCGCGCAUCACCGUGAACACAGAAGAGCAGGAACCUCUCCUUUUGUUCAUAGUCACAGUUGUUUGCGUCUAACACUUUCCGAAUCUCUCUCAUCAUAUCAUUUGGGUCCAUGGAACUUGUGGUCUUCAUACUCCAGGUGAACCUCAAGGACCGUGGCUUAGAAUCUUUGCCAUCCUCCUUUUCUCUGUCUUUUGGUUCCCCAGAAGCACUCCUGAAAGGGGAAAAAUGUUUUCAUAUACAUCAACAAGAAACAAAAAGGCAACACAAGUGCUGGACAGUUUCAAAAUCUUUUUGGUUAAAAACAUGUCCUCACACAAAAUGUAUUUAAUAAAGUACAACUGCAAAGAGAGGCUUCUCUGCUAUCAAUGGUGAGACUCCCUUGAUCUCACCAUUUGGAGUUCAGCACACACCUCCAAAAACUUCCAAGGGUCACACAAAAAACAGAAGACAAGGCAUGCUGUAAGAAGCAGGGAAGAAAGGAAAACCACCCCACCACCACCACCACUUGUCACCCAUCAGAAACAUUAUGAUCAUCCUUCUUCACACGGGGUCUAUUUUGCCCAUUUAAAGUUGGAGAUCUGGAAAGCAAGAGAAAUAUCCCCUGCUAACUGGGCCAAGAGGCACCUUUUUAAGUGGGGGCUCUCACAAUUAUGAGAAAAGGGUAAAGUAACUGUCCCAACUCAACCUGGUAUAGCAUCCCUUGAGCAGCUGUUGCUGGGGUCUCUCUUGUGCUUCUUUCUGGAUUGCAAGUUCUUUGGGGAUAGAGAACCAUUUUCUCAUGUCCUUUGCUAUGUAAACCACUUGAUAACUGUUUGUUGUUGUUGAAAAGCUGUAUAUGGAUAUUCUUAAUAAUUUAAGAUUAUUA